UUGGAGGGCAAGUCUGGUGCCAGCAGCCGCGGUAAUUCCAGCUCCAAUAGCGUAUAUUAAAGUUGUUGCAGUUAAAAAGCUCGUAGUUGAAUUUCGGGGUUUAUCCGUUGGUCGGGCUUUUGGGUCUGUACUGGCGUGAUGAAUUCCUACCUCCUGAAUAACCAGCAUGUCAUUAAUUUGGUGCGCCGGGGAAGCAGGACUGUUACCUUGAAAAAAUUAGAGUGCUUAAAGCAGGCUAUUGCCUGAAUACAUUAGCAUGGAAUAAUGAAAUAGGACGGCAUGGCUCUAUUUUGUUGGUUUCUAGGAUCACCGUAAUGAUUAAUAGGGAUAGUUGGGGGCAUUAGUAUUCAAUUGUCAGAGGUGAAAUUCUUGGAUUUAUUGAAGACUAACUUCUGCGAAAGCAUUUGCCAAGGAUGUUUUCAUUAAUCAAGAACGAAAGUUAGGGGAUCGAAGACGAUCAGAUACCGUCGUAGUCUUAACCAUAAACUAUGCCGACUAGGGAUCGGACGAUGUUAAUUUUUUAAUGACUCGUUCGGCGCCUUACGGGAAACCAAAGUGUUUGGGUUC
rnacentral:rRNA from 1 species